rnacentral:rRNA from 1 species
GACGAACGCUGGCGGCGUGCUUAACACAUGCAAGUCGAACGGAAAGGCCCUGCUUUUGUGGGGUGCUCGAGUGGCGAACGGGUGAGUAACACGUGAGUAACCUGCCCUUGACUUUGGGAUAACUUCAGGAAACUGGGGCUAAUACCGGAUAGGAGCUCCUGCUGCAUGGUGGGGGUUGGAAAGUUUCGGCGGUUGGGGAUGGACUCGCGGCUUAUCAGCUUGUUGGUGGGGUAGUGGCUUACCAAGGCUUUGACGGGUGGCCGGCCUGAGAGGGUGACCGGCCACAUUGGGACUGAGAUACGGCCCAGACCCCUACGGGAGGCAGCAGUGGGGAAUAUUGCACAAUGGGCGGAAGCCUGAUGCAGCAACGCCGCGUGCGGGAUGACGGCCUUCGGGUUGUAAACCGCUUUCGCCUGUGACGAAGCGUGAGUGACGGUAAUGGGUAAAGAAGCACCGGCUAACUACGUG